rnacentral:rRNA from 1 species
UACGUAGGGGGCAAGCGUUAUCCGGAUUUACUGGGUGUAAAGGGAGCGUAGGUGGUUCGGCAAGUCAGAUGUGAAAGCCCGGGGCUCAACCCCGGGACUGCAUUUGAAACUGUCGUACUAGAGUGCAGGAGAGGUAAGUGGAAUUCCUAGUGUAGCGGUGAAAUGCGUAGAUAUUAGGAGGAACACCAGUGGCGAAGGCGGCUUACUGGACUGUAACUGACACUGAGGCUCGAAAGCGUGGGGAGCAAAC